UACGAAGGGGGCUAGCGUUGCUCGGAAUUACUGGGCGUAAAGCGUGCGCAGGCGGUUCGUUGUGUCGGCGGUGAAAGCCCCGGGCUUAACCUGGGAAUGGCCGUUGAAACUGGCGAACUGGAGUGUGGCAGAGGGGGGUGGAAUUCCGCGUGUAGCAGUGAAAUGCGUAGAGAUGCGGAGGAACACCGAUGGCGAAGGCAGCCCCCUGGGCUGACACUGACGCUCAGGCACGAAAGCGUGGGGAGCAAACAGG
rnacentral:rRNA from 1 species